rnacentral:rRNA from 1 species
AACGAACGCUGGCGGCAUGCCUAACACAUGCAAGUCGAACGAGACCUUCGGGUCUAGUGGCGCACGGGUGCGUAACGCGUGGGAACCUGCCCUUGGGUUGGGAAUAACUCCCCGAAGGGGGUCCUAAUACCGGUUAUUGUCUUGGGACCAAAGAUUUAUCGCCUUUGGAUGGGCCCGCGUUGGAUUAGCUAGUUGGUAGGGUAAAAGCCUACCAAGGCGACGAUCCAUAGCUGGUCUGAGAGGAUGAUCAGCCACACUGGGACUGAGACACGGCCCAGACUCCUACGGGAGGCAGCAGUGGGGAAUAUUGGACAAUGGGCGAAAGCCUGAUCCAGCAAUGCCGCGUGAGUGAUGAAGGCCUUAGGGUUGUAAAGCUCUUUUACCCGGGAUGAUAAUGACAGUACCGGGAGAAUAAGCUCCGGCUAACUCCGUG